UACGUAGGGGGCAAGCGUUGUCCGGAUUUACUGGGCGUAAAGAGCGUGUAGGCGGCCACGCAGGUCCGUUGUGAAAACUGGAGGCUCAACCUCCAGCUGUCGACGGAAACCGUAUGGCUAGAGUCCGGAAGAGGAGAGUGGAAUUCCUGGUGUAGCGGUGAAAUGCGCAGAUAUCAGGAAGAAUAUCCGUGGCGAAGGCGGCUCUCUGGGACGGUACUGACGCUGAGACGCGAAAGCGUGGGGAGCGAACAGG
rnacentral:rRNA from 1 species